GCGGUUAAAAAGCUCGUAGUUGGAUUUCUGUUGAGGACGGCCGGUCCGCACUAUGUGCGUUGUAUGCUGGUUCGGCCUCGGCAUCCUCUUGAGGAACGUUUCUGCGCUUGAUUGCGUGGAGCGGUAUUCAAGACUUUUACUUUGAGGAAAUUAGAGUGUUCACGGCAGGCAAGCGCCUUGAAUACAUUAACAUGGAAUAAUAAUAUAGGAUCUUGGUUCUAUUUGUUGGUUUCUAGGGCUAAGGUAAUGAUUAAUAGGGAUAAUUGGGGGCAUUUGUAUUAACGCGUCAGAGGUGGAAUUCUUGGAUUGCGUUACGACAAACUACUGCGAAAGCAUUUGCCAAGGAUGUUUUCAUUGAUCAAGAACGAAAGUAUGGGGAUCGAAGAUGAUUAGAUACCGUCGUAGUCUACACCAUAAACUAUGCCGACUCGGGAUUGGCGGUCGUCUUCUUACCGACUCCGUCAGCACCGUAUGAGAAAUCAAAGUCUUUGGGUUCCGGGGGGAGUAUGGUCGCAAGGCUGAAACUUAAAGAAAUUGACGGAAGGGCACCACCAGGAGUGGAGCCUGCGGCUUAAUUUGACUCAACACGGGGAAACUUACCAGGUCCAGACAUAGUAAGGAUUGACAGA
rnacentral:rRNA from 1 species